rnacentral:rRNA from 1 species
UACGGAGGGUGCAAGCGUUAUCCGGAUUCACUGGGUUUAAAGGGCGCGUAGGCGGCCACCGCAAGUCGACUGUGAAAUCUCCGGGCUUAACUCGGAAAGGUCAGCCGAUACUGCGGGGCUAGAGUGCAGAAGGGGCAACUGGAAUUCUCGGUGUAGCGGGGAAAUGCGUAGAUAUCGAGAGGAACACCUGCGGCGAAGGCGGGUUGCUGGGCUGACACUGACGCUGAUUGUGCGAAAGCUAGGGGAGCGAACGGG